rnacentral:misc_RNA from 1 species
AAUUCUCAACCUCUCAAGCUUUUUGAGCAUGAUGAGGCUUGGACUUGGGGGUUGCUGGCCUUUGUUGGUCGGCUCCUCUUGAAUGCAUUAGCUGGACUUUUCUGAUCACAGAGUGGUUCACGGUGUGAUAAUUAUCUACGCCAUGGUAAGCCCAUCUCUGAGUUCUGGUCGAGCUCAUAAACUGUCUUAGGACACUUUUCAA